rnacentral:rRNA from 2 species
AGACCCGAAACCCGGUGAUCUAGCCAUGGGCAGGUUGAAGGUUGGGUAACACUAACUGGAGGACCGAACCGACUAAUGUUGAAAAAUUAGCGGAUGACCUGUGGCUGGGGGUGAAAGGCCAAUCAAACCGGGAGAUAGCUGGUUCUCCCCGAAAGCUAUUUAGGUAGCGCCUCGUGAAUUCAUCUCCGGGGGUAGAGCACUGUUUCGGCUAGGGGGCCAUCCCGGCUUACCAACCCGAUGCAAACUGCGAAUACCGGAGAAUGUUAUCACGGGAGACACACGGCGGGUGCUAACGUCCGUCGUGAAGAGGGAAACAACCCAGACCGCCAGCUAAGGUCCCAAAGUCAUGGUUAAGUGGGAAACGAUGUGGGAAGGCCCAGACAGCCAGGAUGUUGGCUUAGAAGCAGCCAUCAUUUAAAGAAAGCGUAAUAGCUCACUGGUCGAGUCGGCCUGCGCGGAAGAUGUAACGGGGCUAAACCAUGCACCGAAGCUGCGGCAGCGACACUGUGUGUUGUUGGGUAGGGGAGCGUUCUGUAAGCCUGUGAAGGUGUGUCGUGAGGCAUGCUGGAGGUAUCAGAAGUGCGAAUGCUGACAUAAGUAACGAUAAAGCGGGUGAAAAGCCCGCUCGCC